AAUAAGGCCUCCUUCUGAGGCCACCUUCGAACACUUGAAGCCUGUUUUCUGAACCAUAUUGAGUACUUUCUUUGCUUCACCAGGACAGCCUUAACCCCUAAAAGGAAACAGCAAAAGGCUAAGGCAGGAAUUUCUAAUCGUGACCCUGAGACCAGACUGGAGCUGCUUACAGAACACCCUCUGUGUCAGAGAAUCAGAGACGUUUGCUUGCGAUUGUUCCUAGGUGCCAAGCUCAGAGGUGCCAAGCUCACAGGUGCCCUAGUGCACACCAUGUCAAGCUCAAAAGGAGGAAGACCCUGGUCGGAGGCCUCCCGGCGGACCACGUGUCCCACUUGAGCCAGUUCCAGGAGGGAGGAAGCUCCUAAGAGAAGCUGUUUUUCAGGCACCUUCAAAUGACUGAUUUUUUUUCCGAUGCUUUUCGUAAAUAAUAGAUCAAAGCCUCUGUUUCUGCCAGAAGCCUCCCACCCCUGUGAAUGCUGAAAGAGCAGAUCCACCAAACUCCCCUGGGGCUCUGAAAUGAUCACUCUGCAGGCCUAGUCCCUUUGCAGAAGAGCUGCUUCCUCUCUCAUCAGAAAAGCAAUAGUGGUGUGUCGGGGAGGCCCCCGUGCAGUGUGCAGAUGGGGGAGCCAUUGGCAAGGGCCACCCUUACCAGGGCCUUCUGAGAGCUCUGUGCAUGGCCCUUCUCCCACCUGGGCAAGGCGGUUUGCUGCUCUGGGCUUCCUGUUUCUAUUUCUGCUCCCCAAGUUUCAAGUUCUUUAUUUUUUCCCAGGACUCUGGGCUUUCCUUGUCUUAAGAGGAAAGAAAGGGCGAGGCUCUUUGAAUAUUUUCUGCAUAUUAUACUCCACCCUGGUUUCCAGACUUCAGAAGAAAAAAAGAGCUCUUGGAAAGGGGAAGCCCUCUGGCCUUGUUUUCAACAGGCCGGCUUCACUUCCCCUGCAACUUCUUAGUGAAUCCUUGUUAUAAAGCAAACCAUUCAGGGGCAUGUGUUUCCCAUAGGAAUACGAUUACAAUUGCAGUUGGCUCACCUGACUAUGCUUUUUCCAUUAAAAAAUCAUAGCCAGGACUAAUAAUAGGACAAUAGAAAAAGUUACAAAAAUCAUAAAUCUUCAGGAGGAUUUAAAAUAAUAGGGCAUGGUCCAAGUCCUGUAAAAAUAGUUAUUUGUGAACUGUGUGUAUUCCUUAUAAAUCAAGUGCCCAAAAAGUAAAUCUAUUAAAUUAGAAACUUAACCUAAUGAGCUGGUGUUACUAGAAAGGGAUCCCAAUUCACAUGCCAAGAGAGGAUUCUUGGACCACACAAGAAAGAAUUUGGGCAGGGUCUUUGUGACCUGUAUCUUGAGCUGACCUCCUAUCUCAUCCUGUGACUAAGAAUGCCUGACCUCCUUGGAAUGCAGCCCAGCAGGUCUUAGCCCCAUUUCAACCAGCCCCUUUUCAAGAUGGAGUCACUCUGGUUCAAAUGCCUCUGACACUAGCAAGAACAAAUUUCAAUGAAGCAUUGAGUCAAUGGCAGUUUAUCAUUCCUUGUAACAUUCAAGUAGAUAAUUUUGGAAGUGGAUGCUUUAGUCUACUCUGUUUACUCAAAACAUACUUUCUGGGAAGUUCAAACUGAUAUACUUUUGUCUCAAUAAAUUCUCUUGUGGGGCAAAUCCACCUGAAAUGAUUGCCUUGUCCUUUGAGUUCCAAUUUUGAAAACUUCUCAAAACAUAUCAUUGCUGUAUGGAGAUACUUGAAUUCCUCAACACGGGCCCCAUUUUGAUCUUUUCUUCGUUCCAUCGAGGAAAUCUUAAAGACACAUAAGCUCAGUGUGGCACUCCAGCUUCGUUUAUCACCAAGAGCUCAGCGUGGCUGUGGCUGUCAACUCAAGGAUACUUAAAGCCUUAGAAGUCAGUCUCGACUCAAGGAUGCAACUUCCUUCCUGUAACUCCAGCCCUGCUCUGUGUUUUAUGGACCAGGUCUCUUGGCACCAGGUGCUUAUUGAAAAUGCAGACUCCAGAACCCACUCCAGGACUCCCGAAUCACAGAAUUUUCACAAGCUCCCUAGCUCCUUUUCACCCGCCCAUUCCCAUCCAGCAUGGGAGUGGAGCCAGGCAGAGAAGACCUCUGCUGCUUCCUCUCCUGUGCCCCGUAGACGAGCUCCUUGUGCCUGCUUAGGGCCCACACUGUCCUCUUCGCUGGGUUUCCUGCCUCGCUCAACCUGAACAUUUUAGUCAUCCUCAGGAGGUAACUUGACCCUCACCCUGCUCUAGUUCUCAUCCGCCCGUUAGACCUGAGGCAGGCACGUUUUCUUCUACUCUUUAUACCCCGAGUUCUUUGCUAACUGAGCACACAGGACAUGGAUGCUGGUUGAGGAAGGAGUGGGAUGUCAUCACAGACCCCGGACAGGAGGGAUAUUUCCACCAGGGUGCAGUAUUUCACACUGAUUCAUGGAUAUGAGUGGGUUGCUUUAUAAAUUCCUCCAUUAGCUCAACUAUUUCCAAAGGAAAAAGUGAAAACAGAUCUGGAAGAUGUUAUAACAUCGUCUAAUAACUGGGGUGGGAAAAUGGCAUGGAAAUUUAGAUAUUAACAUGGAUUUGUAUUCUUUUCUCCUAUAAACUCUAAGACUGCAUUGGAGACAAUAAGCCAUUUCUGUGUUAAGGAUUGUAAAACACUACAUGGCAUCUCAUUGGCUUUCAUCAUGUCUGUACUUAAAACAAAACUAUUGGCCGGGCACGGUGGCUCAUGCCUGUAAUCCCAGAACUUUGGGAAGCUGAGGCGGGUGGAUCACUUGAGGUCAGGAGUUCAAGACCAGCCUGGCCAACAUGGUGAAACCUCAUCUCUACCAAAACUAUAAAAAUUAGCUAGGCGUGGUGGUGGGCAACUGUAAUUCCAGCUACUCAGGAUGCCGAGGCAGGAGAAUUGCUUGAACCCAGGAGGUGGAGCUUGCAGCGAGCCCAGAUCACGCCACUGCACUCCAGCCUGGGUGACAAGAGUGAGACUCCAUCCCCCCCACCAAAAAAAGAAAAAAAAACUAUUUAUCAAAACUACCUCUGAUGAAACUUUUCUUGUAAUUCAAAACUUGAACAUCAGAUGUUCCCUGCGUCUUUAGUAAGGAGUGGAAUCAUUGCCGAGAAGAUGCAAACAGGAUCAGAAACAAGCGGAAUCUGUCAGGAUGCUCAGCAGCAGGUGUGGGAGGCAUGAGGGGCACUGCACCUGUAUCUUCACUCCUCACCCGGCUUCAGAGUUGACGUCAAGCUCUGAAAAAGGGAGCUCCAUCUGUGAUAUCCACCAAGUCCAACCAUCAGCAAAGCCUAAAUGUGUGCCACUGCUCCUCCUCCUUGUUCUCAGACCUCCUCAUUUCCUAACAGCUCCUCCUCUCCUGCCUCUCCUCCAGCCACAAUGGACUCCUCGCUGGCCAUGGGCAUGCCGGGGGCUCCAGCUCUCUGGGCUGCUUGUCCCUCAGUGAUCUGGAAGUCUGAUCUCCUCACUGCUGUGGAUUGAAUUGUGUCUCAGUAAAGAUGGGUUAAAGUCCUGGCUCCCCUGCCUGUGAAUGAGAGCUUAUAUAGAAAUAGAGUCUUUGCAGAUGUCAUCAAAUUAAGAUGAGGCCAUUAGGGUAGGACCUAACCCAAGAGGAUCGGUGUCCCUCAGAAGAGGAGAAGACAGAGACACACAGGGAAGAUGCUGCAUGGAGACAG